rnacentral:rRNA from 1 species
UACGUAGGGGGGCAAGCGUUGUCCGGAUUUAUUGGGCGUAAAGAGCGUGUAGGCGGCUAGAUAGGUCCGUUGUGAAAACUCGAGGCUCAACCUCGAGACGUCGAUGGAAACCAUCUGGCUAGAGUCCGGAAGAGGAGAGUGGAAUUCCUGGUGUAGCGGUGAAAUGCGCAGAUAUCAGGAAGAACACCGGUGGCGAAGGCGGGUCUCUGGACAGUUCCUGACGCUGAGGCACGAAGGCCAGGGGAGCAAACGGG